GGAAGGUGAAAAUUUCUGCUAAGGCCUGGAUCCAACAUGGCGUCAGUUGAAAACGAGGCGCAAGAGGCAGGAUGUGCUGCGCUCGUGCAUCCGAAAAUUUUGAAGAAAAAAGCUAGUUUUGCUGUGAAUUUGUAUCAUUCGUUUGUGCUACGGAGCUUCUAAACCCGUGGACAUUGUUUGUGGGCAUGCGCGACAACGGAAAAUGCAUCCUGGCAUCAAUCAGCGUCGGACAGGCAGCGAAGCAGAGGAGUGUUGUGCGAAGUGUUGAGUUUUGUGAUGUGUUUUGCGAGGCAGAGUGUCCGAUUCAAAGGAUUAGAAAAAAGGUCGAUAUUUCCUAUUUCAACGACCGGAUCCAAUGUGAGCGUUACAUGCGUUGCCGCAAGU